rnacentral:rRNA from 1 species
GACGAACGCUGGCGGCGUGCUUAACACAUACAAGUCGAGCGGGAAACUUCGGUUUCCAGCGGCGGACGGGUGAGUAACACGUGGGCAACCUGCCUCACAAUGAGGGAUAGCCUUCCGAAAGGAAGAUUAAUACCUCAUAACACAAGAGAAACACAUGUUUCUCUUCCCAAAGCUUUUCGUUGUGAGAUGGGCCCGCGGCGCAUUAGCUUGUUGGUGAGGUAAAGGCUCACCAAGGCUGCGAUGCGUAGCCGACCUGAGAGGGUGAUCGGCCACAUUGGAACUGAGACACGGUCCAGACUCCUACGGGAGGCAGCAGUGGGGAAUAUUGCACAAUGGAGGAAACUCUGAUGCAGCAACGCCGCGUGAGUGAUGAAGGUCUUCGGAUUGUAAAGCUCUGUCUUCUGGGACGAUAAUGACGGUACCAGAGGAGGAAGCCACGGCUAACUACGUGCCAGCCGCCGCAGUAA